UGAAAACUGGUCCUUUCCAGCUCCGCCAUCUGAUGGCACAGACUGGAAAAGAGAACAGCUACCGCACCAUCGUCCUCCUGGUAAUCAAGCCGAGAUCAGUCCACAUGCUGAGGGUUGCAACUCCAACACCACCAACGAGAUUUCACUGUGAUCAGCUGACCGCAGCAAGAUCGGCCUGGAGAAAAUGAUGAAAGAAUCUACAAUGUCGUUGCAAGGACAAGCAAUCUUAGAAUACAAGCACCUCAAUGUGAAAACCACUGGUAAUUGAAGCUGGUACAAUGCCAUGUGACUCUCAAGCUGGGUAAUGGACAAGGGUCACAUCAACCAAGGGUUGCAAGUUGUCUUUGUCUUCCAAGAGCUUUGGUUCACCAGUUACAUCCUCUGAUGAUACAGAACAUGCAGGACAUUGUGAACAUGGAGAAUAUCAGGAAGGACUGGCACUGAAAAUACCUGAAGAUUUACCUUUUCAGCUGAGAAUGUUUUGUAGGCCUAAAGGUUUAGAAGUUAUACCUAAAUUCCUCAGGACUUAUGGCUAACUCCCAAGGUAGCCUGGAAAACAUUUCAUCCUGGAUGCAGAGAAAGACUGUAAUUACAUUUCUUGUUAGUUAGUUUUAAGAGUUAGUCUUCAUGUUCAAGUAUACAGACACAGAUGUGAAUCAGCAGUGAAGGUCCUUCUGAAGCAAGGAACCAACAACGUCUUGGUAUUGAAGCCAAUGUAGCUUAGGUUGUAUAUAGUGACCAUGAGGUGAGAACAAUGGCCCUGGCCAUUUCAUUGCUUAGAAGUAAUAUCGUUGCUACACUCCUAAAGCAGUUGCUGUCUUCAGGUCUUUUCUGCCUCGCGGGCAAAUCUGCACACUAGUAAUUAUAUGCAGACUUAAGUUUUGCUUUGAAGCAAUAUCAGCGCUACACUUGUGAAGCAGUGGCAGUGUUCAGGUCUUGUCUGCCUCGCAGACAUAUCUGCAUACCAGUAGUUAUGUGCAGACUUGGCUCUUUCUUUGGAGCAGUACAGUUGUAAGAUAAAUCCUGUUUGUAAUUUUAUAAAUUAGUUGCUCAUUAAGGGCUUACGAAGGUUUUGAUGCCUUGCUGGCAUAUCUGCAUACCAGUAAAUAUGUGCAGAUUCAUUUCUUGCUUUGAAGCAAUAGUGUAGUAAUUAUGUGCAGACUUGGCUCUUCCAGGGAUUGUAGGACUGGGUCCAUUGAAUGUAACAAAAAUAAUCGAUGCCUAUUUACAAAUGAACU